GGCAAGAAAAGGUCUACCUAGAAUAAUGGGAAUCUUGGAGUUAACAUUCACAUCUUCUUUUAAAUCCAAAACCAAGAAAUCAAAGGGUUAACAAAAUUUAUCAAUUUGUACUAGCACAUCCUCGACUACACCCCUUGGUCGUAUUGUGGAUCGAUCAGCCAAUUGUAAACUUAUGGAUGUAGGUUUUAUUUCUCCUAGGCCUAAUGACAAUUAAAUAGAGUAAGGCAUGAUGUUAACACUAGC
rnacentral:lncRNA from 1 species